AUUGAACGCUGGCGGCAGGCCUAACACAUGCAAGUCGAGCGGAUGAAGGGAGCUUGCUCCUGGAUUCAGUGGCGGACGGGUGAGUAAUGCCUAGGAAUCUGCCUGGUAGCGGGGGAUAACGUCCGGAAACGGGCGCUAAUACCGCAUACGUCCUGAGGGAGAAAGGGGGGGAUCUUCGGACCUUACGCUAUCAGAUGAGCCUAGGUCGGAUUAGCUAGUUGGUGGGGUAAAGGCCUACCAAGGCGACGAUCCGUAACUGGUCUGAGAGGAUGAUCAGUCACACUGGAACUGAGACACGGUCCAGACUCCUACGGGAGGCAGCAGUGGGGAAUAUUGGACAAUGGGCGAAAGCCUGAUCCAGCCAUGCCGCGUGUGUGAAGAAGGUCUUCGGAUUGUAAAGCACUUUAAGUUGGGAGGAAGGGCAGUAAGUUAAUACCUUGCUGUUUUGACGUUACCAACAGAAUAAGCACCGGCUAACUUCGUG
rnacentral:rRNA from 1 species